ACAGCGCGAUCUUUCUUCGCUUUGAUGCCAUGCUGGUGUGGUUCUGUGCUGGGGCCUCCUGAAUGGCGCGUGGCUGUGGCCGGGUGGCCUCCCACGCUGGGGCGCCGCGCGGGGUAACGCGGCCACCCUGAGCCUGGUGAGGCGUCUGCGGCAGCUGGACCGUGUCCGAAGUGUCCCGGGCGGUGAACGCGUGGAGGGCAGCGGCCUGGCCUUGACUACGCUUUGGUGGGAUCUCAGGAGCGCCUUAGGCGGCCUCAGGCCUGCGUUUCCGUUUCCGCAUCCCCUUGCUUGGAAACGGGGAGCUUAAUGGAUUUGAGUUUAGAUCAUCGACGGUAUGCUGUGGAAUUCUUCAUAUAAGCGAGGUUUGAUUUUCGUUAGUAAAAAGGCCUUGCCGGAUAACUGCCAUUAUGCCUGCCCCGUCCCAGUGCAAAAUAGCUUAAAAGCAGAGUGCCUGGUUACAGCUGUUUCCAAGUGCAGUACUCGGCGGGAGUGAUCACCUACCCUGCGGGUGUAAGAUGGAUGCCUGAAGUGUAGACUGCUGCUAGCUGAAUACCAUCUGGGAACACAAAGGUGACCUAAAGGACGUCCUUGGUGAGGAUUUUGAAAAUUUGAUCUUCACAAGAGUUGCUUGGAUCAUUUAAAAUUUCGAGGAGUCUGAGGAGUACUGCCAUAAUUGCCUGCUGGAGUCCGUAAAUACACAUUUAAGACAGUGAGGACAUGAAUAAAUAUAUUAAUACACUUUGA